rnacentral:rRNA from 1 species
GAGUUUGAUCCUGGCUCAGGACGAACGCCGGCGGCGUGCUUAACACAUGCAAGUCGAACGGAGCACCUUCGAAAGAGACUUCGGUCAAUGGAAAAGAAUGCUUAGUGGCGGACGGGUGAGUAACGCGUGAGGAACCUGCCUUUCAGUGGGGGACAACAGUUGGAAACGACUGCUAAUACCGCAUAACGUACGGGUGUCGCAUGGCAUCUGUACCAAAGAUUUAUCGCUGAGAGAUGGCCUCGCGUCUGAUUAGCUAGUUGGUAGGGUAACGGCCUACCAAGGCGACGAUCAGUAGCCGGACUGAGAGGUUGGCCGGCCACAUUGGGACUGAGAUACGGCCCAGACUCCUACGGGAGGCAGCAGUGGGGAAUAUUGGGCAAUGGGCGAAAGCCUGACCCAGCAACGCCGCGUGAAGGAAGAAGGCUUUCGGGUUGUAAACUUCUUUUGACAGGGAAGAGCAGAAGACGGUACCUGUCGAAUAAGCCACGGCUAACUACGUGCCAGCAGCCGCGGUAAUACGUAGGUGGCAAGCGUUGUCCGGAUUUACUGGGUGUAAAGGGCGUGUAGCCGGGCUGACAAGUCAGAUGUGAAAUCCGGGGGCUCAACCCCCGAACUGCAUUUGAAACUGU